rnacentral:lncRNA from 1 species
CAGGCGUAGGCGGCAGCCCGGUCGAGCACUUGAUGCGGCGCCAUGAGAGGGUCGAGCGGACCCGUGUAGACGGCAGCGGCGCGCUCGGUCAACGAGGUCCGUGCCUGGCGCCGCGCGACCGCGGCCAUGGCACGCGCAUCGAUCUGCCCGACAAAGAGCCGGAUGGCGAGCGCCAGAUGGCACUCGUCGACCUCGGUGCCAUAGAGGGCGCCGUCGUCAAUGUCACUAACGUUUUCGGGUCCGAUCAGCGUGAGCGCGUAUUGAACGGCAGACGGCAGGGCCAGCGACGACGGCACGGGCACCAUGAGGGCGUCGAUCUGCGCCGCGCCGGCGGGCAAAGGUUCCAGGAUAGAGGAGGAGGGCGCGUCGAGCGGCACGGGAUCUUCCCAGGGCGCCGAGCGCGCCAGCGCCGCCAAAAAGAGCCCCAUCUGGCCCAUUAGCGGCUGUAACGCCGCCGUCAGCGAGUGAGCGGGCGCCGCCACACGUGCCCUGUACCGAAUCCGCCGGGCAUCGUCAGGUAUCGAAAUGGCGAGCACCAGGGGGCCCUGGCCGGGCCGCGGAGCCAGAUUGACAAGCAUCACCCAUGCCUCUGUGUUUACAUAGAAGCGCAACAGAUAGUAGGGGCUGGCGGGCGCACAGGCGAGGCUAGGCGCAAGGGCGUGGGCGUCGGCCACGAGCGAGAACGCCGACGGAUCAAGCGACGCGAUGGCGGCGCGGCGGCGCACGGCCUGUGCGAGUGCCGAGCCCAGAGCCUGGCCGGCGUGGCGCAGGUUCGCGGCAUUCUGCUGUUCGAUGCGCGCCACGUGGAGGCCGGCCGUGGCUGGUUCCAACUCGGCGUAGACGCUCUGCACGUCGGCAAAGGUGGGCGGCCAGCCCGAGAUGCGUCCGGCGCGCGCCGCCUCGGCAACCGCAGCGGCCGCAAUGCCGUCGCCCCACGAAAGGGCCUCCCACAGACCGUCAUAGGCAUUGAGGAGCCGCUGGUAGAAUCCGCCGCCCCACCGCGCCGCCUGCGUGCCCGACUCAAUAUGGCCGGCGACGAGGCGCAUGAUCUCGCGCAUGUCCCCUGCGUCGGCCGUGCCGGCGUGCAGACGCUGGGUCUGUUCGUUCAGUACCCGGAUGUCGCGCGCGUAGGCGUCGGACGCAUCGUCGAUGCCGCCACCGUAAGCGCCGCCGUCUCUGCCGUGCACAUCUCGAUCGGCGCGCAGGCGCUUGGGACCCGCCCGCCCGGUGUCCUCCUCUUCGUGGUCGGCGACCAUAUCUCCAUCAUCGGCGUCCGGGAGCGCGGGCUCUCCAUCGCCGGCAGAUCGGAUGCGCUUCAUGGCGUGUCUGCUCUCGCUUUGCGCCAAAGAACAAGAAACCCCGACGAAAAAGAAGAAAAAGGAGAGAGAACGGGAGGUGGAAUCAGACUGGGCGUACAAGACAGCGCAGACGGCCCCUUUCCCGUGGCGCGCACAUAAAGGGCGCUCGACACGCGCACCCGACAGAGGCUGCGCCGCCUUGCGUUGACUCUCUUUUUUUUUUAAACAUUUUCUCGCCCAUUGCGGCCUGGAAGAAAAGAGGCACUGCCAAGGACAUUGUUAUUUGGAAAAAAAGGAUCGGCGACCUCCUUCGGCGUAUGUCCCCAAGAGCGCUGAGCGACAGAGUCCUGGCGCCUGAUGCCUUUUGUAUCUUUGGGAGCCGCCGCCGCCCACAACAGACCUUUUUUUUGAAACUCGCGCCCCACAAAAAGAGCGCUCCAAACAACAGGUCGACAACGCGCAAGAAAUAAAAAAAAAGGCAAAUAGACAGACCGCCG